rnacentral:lncRNA from 1 species
GAGACGGUCGAAGGCACGACCACAUUAAGCCGGCACACGACAAUCACUUAAAACGGGACACAUAUUAGACGACGCUUAAAACGGACGGACACCGACACAAUGGACCGACACAACGACAAUGACGAGAACCACGAGAUCAACAGCCGACGAUUCACAUCCCACCGCGGAGGCGGAGCACCAGAUGGAGGGUGGACUCCUUCUGAAUAUUGUAGUCGGCGAGCGUCCUGCCGUCCUCAAGCUGCUUCCCGGCGAAGAUCAGCCUCUGCUGGUCCGGCGGAAUCCCCUCCUUGUCCUGGAUCUUCGCCUUCACAUUAUCAAUGGUAUCCGAACUCUCCACUUCGAGGGUGAUCGUCUUUCCCGUAAGGGUCUUCACAAAUAUUUGCAUCCCUCCACGAAGGCGGAGAACCAGGUGGAGAGUGGACUCCUUUUGGAUGUUAUAAUCGGCGAGGGUGCGGCCGUCCUCGAGUUGCUUGCCGGCGAAGAUCAGGCGCUGCUGGUCCGGGGGAUGCCUUCCUUAUCCUGGAUCUUGGCCUUGACGUUGUCGAUCGUGUCCGAGCUCUCGACCUCCAAGGUGAUCGUCUUGCCGGUGAGGGUCUUGACGAAGAUUUGCAUGCCUCCACGGAGACGGAGGACAAGGUGGAGGGUGGACUCCUUCUGAAUGUUAUAGUCGGCGAGGGUGCGGCCGUCCUCGAGCUGCUUGCCGGCGAAGAUCAGNN